UACAACUUUCAACAACGGAUCUCUUGGUUCUGGCAUCGAUGAAGAACGCAGCGAAAUGCGAUAAGUAGUGUGAAUUGCAGAAUUCAGUGAAUCAUCGAAUCUUUGAACGCACAUUGCGCCCCAUGGUAUUCCGUGGGGCAUGCCUGUUCGAGCGUCAUU
rnacentral:rRNA from 1 species